UUUUAACGAUUGAUCUGUCGAGAUGAAAGUGUUUUAUUGCUUUAUAUUAGUUGUGCUUGUUACGGUUGGAGGCGCCACUGCAAAAAUGAAGGUAGCCAACAAUGAAACCAUAGAAUUGUGUGAAAGUAUACUGACCAAUUGUACCAGUGAAGACGGAAUGGAGGGUAAGGACUCUUGCCGGGUAACUUACCUCCAGUGCUACGAAGAGAAUGGACAUUUGGUGUAUUAAAUUGAUGACUUGGAUCUGCAACCAUUCUAACAAGCUAACUUUUUGUAUUUCUUAAAACCAUGUUAGCUUUGUUUAAAAAUGAACAAGCAUACUUGA